CAACUCAAAGUCUCAUCUACUAAACCAUUUUUUCCUCUCAAAUCUCAAAAUCACAAAUCACAAACACAAAUCACAAAUCACAAUUUCAUCUCUAAUUCAACAACCACGACAGAUGCUUCUAGUGCUCCUGAUUCUUCUUUUCGAAAUUCCGUGAUUGAGGAAUUUAAUGUGAAUGUUGAUGAUGAGGUGGAGAUUGACGAUGUUGAGAUAGAUGAUAAGGUAGAAAAAAUGGAUCAAGAAAUGCCUCCAAAUAACACUCAAGGAACCACCCAAGAAGAUAAUUCUGAUGUUCCUCCACGUGGCCCUUUUAAGAGAGCAAGACAAUCUGAAGUUUGGAAAGACUUGGGAAACCCUGAAAUGAUAUGCAAUCAGUGGAAAGUGAGAUGUUUACAUUGCAAGGAACAACUAAAAGUACUUAGUUCUGGAAGUACUACUCAUUAUAAGCGCCACUUGGAUAAAUGUCCACAAAAAUGAAUGAUGUUACGACAACAAAAUUUAAUUAACUUCCUUCCAUCAGAUUCAAGUGCUGGAUCACCUGAUUCUUCAUUUGUUAGUGCUUUGCAUGAUGACAAGUUUGAUGUUUUAAAGUUUAGAGAAGGCAUUGCUCAUUGGAUUGUUAUGCAUGAAAAUACCUUCUUAGUUGUUGAAGAAGAAGAUUUUAACUUGAUGUUGAAACGAGGAAUCCCACAAUGAAAAAGUGUGUCUCGUCAUACUAUAAGAAGUGUUGCUUUCAAAACUUAUGAGAUUGAGAAGAUAAAGUUAAAAGAGUUGUUAAAGAGCAUAUAUGGAAUUUCAUUAACCAUUGAUCUAUGACGUUCAAGUCCGCAAAAGAUUGAGUAUAUGGUUCUUACUUCUCACUUUGUUGAUCGUGAUUGGAAACUUCAAAAGCGAAUAUUGAGCUUUGCUCACAUACCUCCUCCUCGAAAAUGCAAAGACAUUGCCAAUUGCAUAUUCAAAUGUUUAAAGGAGUGGGAUAUUGAAAAUAAAGUUUUCACAAUUUCGGUGGACAAUGCAACUACAAAUGAUGUUUUAUAGAAAUUUUGAAGGAUACUUCUCAUUGACUAAGAGAUUGAUUUGUGGUGGAAAUUUGUUCCAUGUUCGUUGUUGUGCUCACAUUUUGAACAUUAUGGUUCAACAUGGGUUGAAGAAAGUGAAAACAAUAAUCAAGAAUGUUCAUGAUACUGUUGAUUACAUCAAUGGCAGUGAGCAUCAAUUGAAAAAGUUUGCAGAACUUGUUGGACAAUUCAACAUAAAGCAUAGAAGGUUGGUUAUUGAAUGCAAGACAAGGUAGAACUCAACUUAUGACAUGCUAGCACGUGCAAUCAAAUUUAAAGAGGUUUCUCGAAGAAUAUCGGGUGCUGCUCAGUGUUAGAGUCGGAGAUCUGGGGUAUCUUUUAGGGCUUGAGCAUGUCUUGGGAGUUGGAUAGGAGGAAGUUGAUUGUAGAAGUGGACAGUAAGAAGGCUCCCGCAGAGGUGAACGACGAUCCAAGGUUUCAUGGCGUUUUUUCGCUCGUUCUCCAUAUAUAUUUGUGAGCUGCUGCAGAAAGAUUGGGAGUUGAUUUUCAGAUUUGUUCCCCGCGAGGUUAACUCUACAGCCGAUCAUCUUGCGAAAUUGAUAUGGAAUCUCCCUAUUGGUCUUCAUCGAUUUCCGAUUGCUCCCCCGAGUGUUGCAGCUGUGGUUGACACGAAUGUAGAAUAUGAGGUCUGUGCAUGGUGUAAGUAGGUUGGGUGCAGCUAUAU